rnacentral:rRNA from 1 species
UGGGGAAUUUUGGACAAUGGGGGCAACCCUGAUCCAGCCAUGCCGCGUGAGUGAAGAAGGCCUUCGGGUUGUAAAGCUCUUUCGGCGGGGACGAAACGGUCCGUGACAACACCACGGACUAAUGACAGUACUCGCAGAAGAAGCACCGGCUAACUACGUGCCAGCAGCCGCGGUAAUACGUAGGGUGCAGGCGUUAAUCGGAAUUACUGGGCGUAAAGCGUGCGCAGGCGGCUCCUUAAGUCAGAUGUGAAAUCCCCGGGCUUAACCUGGGAACUGCGUUUGAAACUGAGGGGCUAGAGUGUGGAAGAGGGGGGUGGAAUUCCAGGUGUAGCAGUGAAAUGCGUAGAGAUCUGGAGGAACACCGAUGGCGAAGGCAGCCCCCUGGGCUAACACUGGCGCUCAUGCACGAAAGCGUGGGGAGCAAACAGGAUUAGAUACCCGUGUAGUCCCUGAGCGGGCUGGCAAGGCGCAU